AAGUAAACACUAACGCAAACACACUGUCUCGAAAAGUGUGUAAAAUAGCGACGACCAUCUGUAGCGUGAAAAUGUUUUCGUUCAAAGUUUGUUGUAUCUUGAGACAAGUGUUUAGUAAGUCAUGUGUUUGCAAAAUAAAGAAAAACUUUGGGUAAACAUGACACCUCCUUGGGCUGGGGAGCAUUAUACCGACUACAGGAGACCUACAGUCACGGAUAUCGAUAUAUGGUUCCGGUAGGUCAAGGCUUAUUAUCCGCAAUGGUCAUUUUGAAGAUACAUGUAGCAUCUUAAAUGUUGUGAAGAGGCCACCUGAUCAGAAAAUGGGGGAAUGUGAGCUACAUCAUGCAAAUUACCAGUGCGUUGACUUCGCUGGUGAUGCUGCCUCCGGUCAUGUAGGAGUUGGAGUCAGCCAUGGUUGUCGUUGGCUUUACCUUGAUCGUGUCCAUAGGAAUACCCAGCUCAAAGGCACAGACUUGCAUCAUCUGUUAUGUAACAUUGUCAGAUCAUAUUCAUUCCCAUCCUACACAAUAACUGAAAGAUUUAGAGAGGGAGAAACGUUUUGUUAAAGACAUGGUAUUUCAGCUUUGUCUUUACAAUUUAAAGACGGGGUUUAACUGUACAUUGUCCGUGUGAUCAGGAUCGUCCUUUACCACAGUUAUUCUUAUAUUCAUUUAAGUAAAGACAAAAGGAUAUAUUUUGUCAACUGUGGCACCAAAGUAUUUCUGUACCACUUUAUCUUAGCAAUUACAGCAAAGUAAAAUCAUUGUUACAAACUGAAAGAUAUCUAACUUGUUUAAAUGAUAAAGGUUUCAUCAGAGCUUAUUGGAAACCUUCUUUUCACAAUUUUAAUGUGAAUGUAUGUCGCAGGUCCAAAGACGGUGAUAUUAUGAACUCUAUUUGUACAAACUGUUCAUACGGAGAAUAAGAGGAUGAUCAUGAAUACCAUGUCCUACUUACAUGUUAAACGUAUUCCCAUUGAAAGUAUUAAUUUCCUCCCAUGCUGCAAGGUAUUUUUAACGACCAUCAGAUAAUGAUAAAUCUGAAAAUCCCAACAUGAUCCAUUCUGUUUCUGUAUUUUUAAAACAUGUCUUUAUAAUGAGAAAUAUGUAAUUUGAUUAAAAAAUCUAAUCAUGUACAUCACGUGAUAAAUGUUAAUAUCCAAUCUGCAUUGUACUAUGGGCCUUGAUGCCUACAGUACUGAAUCUGUUUACCCAUGAGAUAACGGCUUUACGGUUGUACACAACCAAUGUGAUGACGCCCAUAUGUGUCGUCAGUGUCAGAAACAAAAAAAUCCAUCUCCUACCAAGCACGGCGAUAGUGUUACUUCUAUGGUGAUUGUUACUGUUACUUCAAGUCAAUAUCGAACUGGCACUGGGGGAUCGUUACACAUGAGUAUAAUUACGUGAGUAACAGCCACCUCCUAACUGGCGAUAGAGGUUCGCAUACAAGACAUUAGUGUUACGUCCUUCUGUAAAUCAUGUCUUAAAUACACGGAGAGAGGUAGACGUCGACCAAGAGAAUGACCACGGGGGUCCGGGGCCGUGGGUCCCGAGUCCCGUGGGUCGAGCGCCACUCUGGCCGUGUCCCCUCCGCUUUUACAUAAGCACAAGUAUGCAGUUUAAUACAUAGUGAAUACAUUUACAGAAGUACGUACGCACUACAUUCUGAUUGGACAAUAUAUGCAAUGAAUAUUCUACAAAGUCAUUUGAAUGGACAUGAAUAAAUUGACACUUAGUUAUCUAAUAUUUAAUUUAUUAUGUGACGUUAGUGCGCCAACAGUGCUAGACGAUAAGGUUUUACUUUAAUGAUUUAACUUUAUUAAAUCUUUAUGCUAAAAAAUAAUAUAAUCUGUAUGUAUAUUUGUAAACGUAUACACGAAAAAGUAGUUGUAUGACAAUGGGGCUUUUCUAGGGCAAUUAUGGAAAGGAUAAACGUAGAUUACUGUCGACAUAACGAUGAUAAACGAGUAUUUCAACAUGUCACCUACCUUGGUGUUGAUUCCCUGGCCCACCUCCACACCGCCGAUCGAAAUAGCGACGGAACCAUCCCCGUGGUAGACAGUCAUGUAGACGUUGUAGUUGGGAUUGUUGCCUGCGUAGUCCUGGUCCCAUCGGAGAGGCAUCACAGAGAUACCCUUCUUCUUCCAUCUGUUGGCCUGGGUGAUAAUUUUCAGACACAUGUGAAAUAUGUUCAGGGCAAGUGCAUGUACAAACAUAUUUCAAUGAGUGAGUGAGUGAGUAUAGCUUUACACCGCUUUUGGCACUAUUCCAGCAAUAUCACGGCGGGGGAGACCAGAAAUGGGCUUCACCCAUUGUACCCAUGUGCAGAAUCAAACCCGGGUCUUUGGCAAGAUAGGAAUAUACCUGCAAUACAAUAGGCAAAAACAUACUUUGCGGGGUGAACACAAUAUGUUUCAUGAGGGUUUUUACGUCGCUAUUAGCAAUAUUUCAGCAAUAUCACCGCGGGAACACGGGAACUGUGCUUCACAUUCAGUCCCGUAAUGAUUAAAAAAUUACUUAUUUGGUCAAAUAAGUUAAUAUUUUUAGCAAUAUUUCAGCAAUAUCACCGCAGGAACACGAGAACUGUGCUUCACCUUCAGUCCCGUAAUGAUUAAAAUACUUACUUAUUUGGUUAAAUAAGUUAAUAUUUUUAGCAAUAUUUCAGCAAUAUCACCGCGGGGACACUAAAACUGUGCUUCACCUUCAGUCCCGUAAUGAUUAAAAUACUUACUUAUUUGGUUAAAUAAGUUAAUAUUUUUAGCAAUAUUUCAGCAAUAUCACCGCGGGGACACUAGAACUGUGCUUCACCUUCAGUCCCAUAAUGAGAUAUAUACUUUUUAAUUUGGUUAAAUACGUUAAUAUUUUUAGCAAUGUUUCAGCAAUAUCACCGAGGGAACACUAGAACUGUGCUUCACCUUCAGUCCCAUAAUGAUUAAUAUACUUUUUUAUUUGGUUAAAUACGUUAAAUCCCCCAUUGAUCCACAGUACAUUUCUUUGGGUUGUCUUCGAUAGGGACGUCAUAUGAGUAACCAGGGCAUUAUUAUUUGGAAGUAUCAGCCCCCUAAAAAAACAAACAGUGUCUACCGUAUCACCCCUACAGUUCCUUGUCAUGUAUAUCAGCCCCUGUACCUGGUUGAAAGCUGCAACUUGUUGUUUCCUUGUCUGGACAUCGGCUGACUUCUCCAGUUGAGCCACCAUGUCCUUGAUGUUGCAGUACUUCAGAACCAUUCCAGUGACAGACGCCUGAGAAGGUAAGCUAAACAACCUGAUUUCAUUCUACAGCCAUUAUAUCUAUUAAAAGAUCGGAUAAAUGUAUGUUCUUCAUAUAUUGUCCGCAUUUUAAGAUUUUAUUCUACAUGUGUUGUAGAUGACUAAAUGGAUCGGGUCAAGUUCAGUGACUUGGUGAGAUUUUGUGUCAUCAUUUCCGAUGACGUCAUUAUUUGAAACAAGAACCUCUGGAAUUUAUAAAAAAUGUAUAUUGUGUGAAACAUGAUAAUGUGAUAAUAAAACACCAGGUUUUGUUUACAUGUGCAUCAUCUUUAUAUAUGCUUACUUUAAUACACAAUACUCUAAAGUAAAAACAUUACUUUUAAGAGCAAUUUAUAACUGAAAAGAAUUAAUAGAAAAUAUACACUGACAAAAGCCGACUGCAUCUGCGGUUCGAAGUUUAUAACAGUGUAAUCAGGCCAUGCCUACAACUGUGUCCUAAUGCCAUAUCUACAACUGUGUAAUGAGGGUAUCCCUGCAACUGUGAAUUAGACCAUGUCUACAACUAUGUAAUGAGCCCAUGCCUACAACUGUGUCAUGAUACCAUGCCUACAACUGUGUAAUGAGGGCAUGCCUGCAACUAUGUCAUGAUACCAUGCCAUACCUACAACUGUGUCAUGAUACCAUGCCUACAACUGUGUCAUGAUGCCAUGCCUACAACUGUGUCAUGAUACCAUGCCUACAACUGUGUCAUGAUGCCAUGCCUACAACUGUGUCAUGAUACCAUGCCUACAACUGUGUCAUGAUGCCAUGCCUACAACUGUGUCAUGAUACCAUGCCUACAACUGUGUCAUGAAGCCAUGCCUACAACUGUGUCAUAACACCAUGCCUACAACUGUGUCAUGAUGCCAUGCCUACAACUGUGCGAUGAUACCAUGCCUAUAACUGUGUCAUGACGCCAUGUCUACAACAGUGUCUUGAGGCCAUCACUACAACUGUGUGAUGAUACCAUGCCUACAACUGUGUCAUGAUACCAUGCCUACAAUUGUGUCAUGAUACCAUGCCUACAAUUGUGUCAUGAUACCAUGCCUACAACUGUGUCAUGACGCCAUGUCUACAACAGUGUCUUGAGGCCAUCACUACAACUGUGUCAUGAUACCAUGCCUACAACUGUGUCAUGAUACCAUGCCUACAACUGUGUCAUGAUACCAUGCCUACAACUGUGUCAUGAUACCAUGCCUACAAUUGUGUCAUGAUACCAUGCCUACAACUGUGUCAUGAUACCAUGCCUACAACUGUGUCAUAAUACCAUGCCUACAAAUGUGUCAUGAUACCAUGCCUACAACUGUGUCAUGAGGCCAUGUCUACAACUGUGUAAUGAAGUCAUGCCUACAACUGUGUCAUGAUGCCAUGCCUACAACUGUGUCAUGAGGCCAUGCCUACAACUGUGUGAUAACGCAAUGCCUACAACUGUGUAAUGGUGCCAUGCCUACAACUGUGUCAUGAUGCCAUGCCUACAACUGUGUCAAGAGGACAUGGCUACAACUGUUUCAUGAUGCCAUGCCUACAACUGUGGAAUGAGGUCAUGCCUACAACUAUGCGAUGAUACCAUGCCUAUAACUGUGUCAUGAUGCCAUGCCUACAACUGUGCCAUAAUACCAUGCCUACAACUGUGUCAUGAUACCAUGCCUACAACUGUGUCAUGAUGCCAUGCCUACAACUGUGUCAUGAUGCCAUGCCUACAACUGUGUCAUAAUACAAGGCCUACAACUGUGCCAUGAUACCAUGCCUACAACUGUGUCAUGAGGCCAUGUCUACAACUAUGUAAUGAAGUCAUGCCUACAACUGUGUCAUGAUGCCAUGCCUACAACUUUGUCAUGAGGCCAUGCCUACAACUGUGUCAUAAUGCAAUGCCUACAACUGUGCCAUAAUGCAAUGCCUACAACUGUGGCAUGAGACCAUGCCUACAACUGUGUAAUGAUGCCAUGCCUACAACUAUGUCAUGAUGCCAUGCCUACAACUGUGUCAAGAGGACAUGGCUACAACUGUUUCAUGAUGCCAUGCCUACAACUGUGUCAUGAGGUCAUGCCUACAACUGUGUCAUGAGGCCAUGCCUACAACUGUUUCAUGAUGCCAUGCCUACAACUGUGUCAUGAGGUCAUGCCUACAACUGUGUCAUGAGGCCAUGCCUACAACUGUUUCAUGAGGUCAUGCCUACAACUGUGUAAUGAUGGCAUGCCUACAACUGUGUCAUGAGGCCAUGUCUACAACUGUGUAAUGAGGCCAUGCCUACAACUGUGACAUGAUACCAUGCCUACAACUGUGUAAUGAAACCGUACCUAUGUAUUGUUUUCAAGAAUUUUCUACAUCCGUUUCAUGUUUCCCCCUUAUUACCAAAACUGCUGACACAAUAUCUGACAAUGAUAAAUAUUGAAUAAUGGUCUUCUGUUUAGCAUUGCGUUUGCGAUAAAUAGCUUUGAGGUGAAUACACAUGUCAGUUAGUUAAAAUGUAAACCAGUCUCAGGCAUAUAGCUACACAUUUACAUGAGUCGUGAGCCAACAAAUAGGACAUGUGUGGCCUGAGAGAUAUUUCGGGUAUACCUGCUUGACCUUUACAUACCUGACCUUUGUCGAACAAAUUUAACUUCCUGAAUUCCAGCGGGUCUUUGUGGAAAACCUUGGCCACAUGUUCCAUCAUGGCUUCCAUGAUGAAGAUGGCGGGGCAGGAUCCUGCCAGAAAGAUGGGCAUGUUACUAUUACCCGCUUGAAUGGCGCAUCAACAUAUUUAAUUUUGCUUCUCUUUUUAAACGCCCUUGACAAUCAAAGGUACAUAAUAUUAGCACCCAUGGCAAGUAUGCAACGCGUCGGUUUCUUGUCAUACCUCUGUGUCAGCCAGAUGGAAAUGCACCAAUGCGAAUAUAAUAAAGACAAAAAUCGUUAUUGAUGACGACUUCCUUAUUCUAUUAUGAUGCGAUUUUUCGGUAUAGAUCAAGAGUGACAACUGUAUAAGGAUCCAUGCAGAAACGUCGCAUCGUAAUAGAAUUAAGAAGUUGUCAUCCAUAAAGAUAUCUCGUCGUUACCGUUACUUACCAACUUCUAAAAAUGGCGAUAAAACAUAAUAUAAUAGAGGCGAACAACCAAUGUAUCUUUACAUACAUUAUAAUGCUUUUGGUUUUAUUUGGUGAUGUGUUUAACGUUUGCGUGCGUGCGUGUGUGUUGUUUAAACAUGGACGCCCUACUCCGAGCCGACCAGUCCUUAAUGCUGAGCGCCAGGCAGGGUCACAACAGGUACCAUCUUUUAAGGUCUUUUGGUAUAGCGUGACCGACCUUCUGCUCUUCGGCAAGACGCUCUGACCACUAAACCCCGGAGGUGGUCUUUUUGUGUUAUUGACAUUGUAUAUGUAGUUGCGAGCCUUACCUGGGGCCCGGCAAUAGGUGUUGGCGGGAAGGUUCGUCUUCAGGGCUAUAGGUUUAAAGUCCCACGCAGGACAGAAGUAGGCUGAAAAGGGAACAUUACUAUGAUCAACCGGAAGUUAACUUGAAAUAGUUAUAUCUGUCCCACCAGGAGAAAAGGGACUCAUGGGUGCUAGGACACAAUUGUGCUGUUACGAUAAAAAGAAAGAUGUUUGACGUCAACUUACUUCCGUAAAAAUCACCAUGUGUGCGGACUGUACAGAAAUAUGUUAUUUUUCUCCCAUUAGUUCAUAAUGUAUUACGUCAAUUAAUCUGAUAUUAUGUAUGUAACCUGCAAUUACAUAAACUGUUUUAAGUCUGAAAAUGUAAAUUUUCGGAAAAUGAGUCUAAAUGUUUGAUUCCAUUUAUCUCUGUAAUAAAUAUGAAUUGAAACGCG
rnacentral:lncRNA from 1 species